rnacentral:tRNA from 1 species
GCGUCGGUACCCAAGUGGUCAACGGGGAUGCGCUGUAAACGCAUUGGUUUUACCUUCGGGGGUUCGAAUCCCUCCCGGCGCA